rnacentral:sRNA from 1 species
GUCGUGAGAUGUUGGGUUAAGUCCCGCAACGAGCGCAACCCUCAUCUUCAGUUGCCAUCAGGUUAAGCUGGGCACUCUGGAGAAACUGCCGGUGACAAGCCGGAGGAAGGCGGGGAUGACGUCAAGUCCUCAUGGCCCUUACGGGCUGGGCUACACACGUGCUACAAUGGCGGUGACAGCGGGCGGCGAAGGUGCGAGCCUGAGCCAAUCCCGAAAAGCCGUCUCAGUUCGGAUUGCACUCUGCAACUCGAGUGCAUGAAGUUGGAAUCGCUAGUAAUCGCGGAUCAGCAUGCCGCGGUGAAUACGUUCCCGGGCCUUGUACACACCGCCCGUCACGCCAUGGGAGUUGGUUUUACCCGAAGGCGGUUUUGCUGACCCAGCAAUGGGGGGCAGCCGACCACGGUAAGGUCAGCGACUGGGGCGAAGUCGUAACAAGGUAGCCGUAGGGGAACCUGCGGCUGGAUCACCUCCUUUCUGGGUCUGGAGGAAGAGCCGGCACCCGCCAGGGUGCAGGCAGACUUUCUCCGGGUACCAUCACACUAUGCCGAAGGUGGCCUGAGGCCGCCGUCCCCGCAUCCCUUCUCCCACGGAAAAUGAGCGACGAGAUCGGGCUAGUAGCUCAGUUGGUUAGAGCGCGCGCUUGAUAAGCGUGAGGUCGGAAGUUCAAGUCUUCCCUGGCCCACCAGGUGUCGGAGGACGCAGAACAGAGGACAGACGACGGACCCAUGUGGAUCAGGCGAAGACGCGGGAAGCGGCAAUGAGUUCCGUCCUCUGUCGUCCGUCUGCUGUCGUCUGAUCCCGGGGCCGUAGCUCAGCUGGGAGAGCGCCUGCUUUGCAAGCAGGAGGUCACCGGUUCGAUCCCGGUCGGCUCCACCAGAGCCGACCAGAACUUCUUCAAGAAGGCGGCUCCACCAGGAGCAGGCAUCGGGGAUCGGGCAUCAGGUAUCAGGGCUUCCGUGGGAUGAAGAUAGAAAUUGGACGCGAUUGGGCCGGGGUCUUCUGAUCCCUGAUGCCUGAUCCCGGUCCUCUGGUUUUGUUGUUUUACAUUGUGGAUAGGAAUGCGACUGGCCGUUGGCGGUGGUUGGCUUGUGUUGUGCGCUCGAUCGGGAGAUGGGGCGCUGGACGAGGAACCGGAUUGUCAUCGGCCAGGCGGGUAAAACUAAGAUGAAGUGCUGAGUGUUAAGUCGAGGCUUUUGGGUCGUGGAUGGAGGCUUUGCUCUCUGUGUGCGAUGGAAGGGCUUCGGAUCAAGCGUUUAAGGGCAUUUGGUGGAUGCCUUGGCACUGAGAGGCGAUGAAGGACGUGGCACGCUGCGAAAAGCCGCGGGGAGGGGCGAGCACCCUUUGAUCCGCGGAUCU